GUUCUUGUAGUUGAAUAACAACGAUGGUUUUUCAUAUCAUAGGUCGCGAAGUCUUUCGUGCAAGAAUU
rnacentral:tRNA from 1 species